UACAGAGGGUGCAAGCGUUAAUCGGAAUUACUGGGCGUAAAGCGUGCGCAGACGGUUGCGUAAGUCAGAUGUGAAAGCCCCGGGCUCAACCUGGGAAUUGCAUUUGAGACUGCGUAGCUAGGGUGCGGAAGAGGGAAGCGGAAUUUCCGGUGGAGCGGUGAAAUGCGUAGAGAUCGGAAAGAACACCAACGGCGAAAGCACUCUGCUGGGCCGACACUGACACUGAGAGACGAAAGCUAGGGGAGCGAAUGGG
rnacentral:rRNA from 1 species